CCCCUCGUCUCUCUUUGAGGCGAUUUUCGCGAUUCUAGGGUUUCAUCUCACUGUGCUUAAUUCAUGACGAUUUAGGGUCGUUUUUGGCCAGAUUCUUGAGGGGUUUUACACUUAAUCAUGAUUACUCGUGAUUUCCAGGCGAAGUAAUGCAGAAGAACAUGUGAAUCAAAGUUGAUGUAAGCAGGUGCAAGAAAUGGCCGGAACGGUAGAUUCUGUUAUACAUAUAUUGUGGUGCGGAAUGAUGAUCAACUCUCUUUGCUCCUAAACGCUGUGAUUGAACUAUUUUAUAACCAUCUAUCAGAAGUGGUUAAAAAAACUAGACAUGAUAGUUAGGCUGUGAUGGUUCAUUCCUACAGGAAUAAAUUCUGCUUAUUUUAAUUCUAUAGUACUACUGAAAUUACAGUUAUUUGCUAGCAAAAUAUAUUGAAUUA